rnacentral:rRNA from 1 species
GACGAACGCUGGCGGCGUGCUUAACACAUGCAAGUCGAGCGGUAAGGCCCUUUCGGGGGUACACGAGCGGCGAACGGGUGAGUAACACGUGGGUGACCUGCCCUCAGCUCUGGGAUAAGCCUGGGAAACUGGGUCUAAUACUGGAUAUGACUCCACGGUGCAUGUCGUGGGGUGGAAAGCCUUGUGCGGCUGAGGAUGGGGCCCGCGGCCUAUCAGCUUGUUGGUGGGGUGANGGCCUACCAAGGCGACGACGGGUAGCCGGCCUGAGAGGGGCGACCGGCCACACUGGGACUGAGACACGGGCCCAGACUCCUACGGGAGGCAGCAGUGGGGAAUCUUGCGCAAUGGGCGAAAGCCUGACGCAGCGACGCCGCGUGA